AGAGGAAGCAGGAGCAGCCUCAGGUGGAGGACCCUUUUCCAGAUGAGACCAGUCAGGUGGAGGAUUCAGACAUUUGGGUCGUCCAGAUUGGAGAAGACGGAGAAUAUAUUACAGUUGACAGUGAAACAUGGCCAAAUGACAGUAGCACAACUUUUCCUGAUUCUUUCCUAAGAGGAGAUUCUGUGGAACCAGAUCAGGUGACUUUUGAAGAUGUGUCUGUGGAUUUCUCAGAGGAGGAGUGGGCCCUCUUGGAUCCAAGCCAGAAAGCCUUGCACCAGCAAGUCGUGGAGGAAAAUUUAGGGAUCGUGUUAUCUCUGGGUAAAGCUCCAUUAUGCUUGUAGUU